rnacentral:rRNA from 1 species
UACGUAGGGGGCAAGCGUUGUCCGGAAUUAUUGGGCGUAAAGAGCGUGUAGGCGGUCCGGUAAGUCAGCUGUGAAAGUCAAGGGCUCAACCCUUGAAAGCCGGUUGAUACUGUCGGGCUAGAGUCCGGAAGAGGCGAGUGGAAUUCCCGGUGUAGCGGUGAAAUGCGCAGAUAUCGGGAGGAACACCAGUGGCGAAGGCGGCGAUCUGGGCUGUUACUGACGCUGAGGUGCGAAAGCGUGGGGAGCAAACAGG